CUUGCGGCGUGCUACCAUGCAAGUCGAACGUGAUCCGCCCUUCGGGGUGGUGAAAGUGGCGCACGGGUGAGUAACGCGUGGAUAAUCUGCCCGAGGAUUUGGGAUAACAUCUCGAAAGGGGUGCUAAUACCGAAUAAGCCCACGGGGUCUACGGAUCUUGCGGGAAAAGGGGGGGACCUUCGGGCCUCCUGUCCUUGGAUGAGUCUGCGUACCAUUAGCUAGUUGGUGGGGUAAUGGCCUACCAAGGCGACGAUGGUUAGCUGGUCUGAGAGGAUGAUCAGCCACACUGGAACUGAGACACGGUCCAGACUCCUACGGGAGGCAGCAGUGGGGAAUUUUGCGCAAUGGGGGAAACCCUGACGCAGCAACGCCGCGUGGGUGAUGAAGGCCUUCGGGUCGUAAAGCUCUGUCUGGAGGGAAGAAAUGAUUGGGAGCUAAUACCUCUUGAUCUUGACGGUACCUCUGAAGGAAGCACCGGCUAACUCCGUGCCAGCAGCCGCGGUAAUACGGAGGGUGCAAGCGUUGUUCGGAAUUAUUGGGCGUAAAGCGCGUGUAGGCGGUCUUUUAAGUCUGAUGUGAAAGCCCCGGGCUCAACCUGGGAAGUGCAUUGGAAACUGGGAGGCUUGAGUACGGGAGAGGAGAGUGGAAUUCCUAGUGUAGGAGUGAAAUCCGUAGAUAUUAGGAGGAACACCGGUGGCGAAGCGGCUCUCUGGACCGAUACUAACGCUGAGACGCGAAAGCGUGGUAGCAAACAGGAUUAGAUACCCUGAUAGUCCACGCCGUAGACGAUGAGUACUAGGUGUUGCGGGUAUUGACCCCU
rnacentral:rRNA from 1 species